rnacentral:rRNA from 1 species
CCUACGGGAGGCUGCAGUGGGGAAUAUUGCACAAUGGGGGAAACCCUGAUGCAGCGACGCCGCGUGAAGGAUGAAGUAUUUCGGUAUGUAAACUUCUAUCAGCAGGGAAGAAAAUGACGGUACCUGACUACGAAGCCCCGGCUAACUACGGGCCAGCAGCCGUGGCAAUACGUAGGGGGCAAGGGUUAUCCGGAUUUACUGGGUGUAAAGGGAGUGUAGACGGUAUGGCAAGGCGGCUGUGAAACCCCGGGGCUCAACCCCGGGACUGCAUUGGAAACUGCCGAACUAGAGUGUCGGAGAGGCAAGUGGAAUUCCUGGUGUAGCGGUGAAAUGCGUAGAUAUUAGGAGGAACACCAGUGGCGAAGGCAGCUUGCUGGACGAUGACUGACGUUGAGGCUCGAAAGCGUGGGGAGCAAACAGGAUUAGAUACCCCGGUAGUC